rfam:Pan troglodytes isolate Yerkes chimp pedigree #C0471 (Clint) chromosome 19, whole genome shotgun sequence.
GCUGGGCAUGGUGGUGUGUGCCUAUAGUCCCAGCUACUUGGGAGGCUGAGGCAGGAGAAUCGCUUGAACCCAGGAGGUGGAGGUUGCAGUGAGCCAAGAUCAUGCCACUGCACUCCAGCCUGGGUGACAGAGCGAGACUCUGUCUCAA